rnacentral:rRNA from 1 species
CUGGGUGGAUGAGUGGCGAACGGGUGAGUAAUACGUGAGUAACCUGCCCUUGACUCUGGGAUAAGCCUGGGAAACUGGGUCUAAUACUGGAUAUGACCUCCUGUCGCAUGGUGGGGGGUGGAAAGGGUUUGUACUGGUUGUGGAUGGGCUCACGGCCUAUCAGCUUGUUGGUGGGGUAAUGGCCUACCAAGGCGACGACGGGUAGCCGGCCUGAGAGGGUGACCGGCCACACUGGGACUGAGACACGGCCCAGACUCCUACGGGAGGCAGCAGUGGGGAAUAUUGCACAAUGGGCGCAAGCCUGAUGCAGCGACGCCGCGUGAGGGAUGACGGCCUUCGGGUUGUAAACCUCUUUCAGCACGGAAGAAGCGAAAGUGACGGUACGUGCAGAAGAAGCGCCGGCUAACUACGUGCCAGCAGCCGCGGUAAUACGUAGGGCGCAAGCGUUGUCCGGAAUUAUUGGGCGUAAAGAGCUCGUAGGCGGUUUGUCGCGUCUGCUGUGAAAGCCCGGGGCUUAACCCCGGGUGUGCAGUGGGUACGGGCAGACUUGAGUGCCGUAGGGGAGACUGGAACUCCUGGUGUAGCGGU